AUCUCGCUGAAGAGUCCCAAAUAGGACGAAACGCGCGUCAAGCAU
rnacentral:hammerhead_ribozyme from 1 species